rnacentral:misc_RNA from 1 species
GAAGCGAUCGACCACUGAAAGAUAUGGUUAUUAAACUUGAAAUGCAUAAGCUAAAUACAAGAUGCAACACUGACAUAAAUAAUGGCUUUGGACAAAUCCCUGAAAAACGAAGAAGACGAGCUGCACUUCUAUCAGUGCUUAUAACAUUCGUUAUAAUGGUGAUUCUUCUCGCCGGCUUCACCAAACCGAGUUCCAAGCUGUACGCCGUCAACACUGGAAACUCGAGUGAGGCAGAUAUGAAAUGUAAGAGAGAGAAGAACGAGCAUUAUCACGUCGGAGUAUUUAUCUGGUCAUUAAGCAUAAUUGGCAUUAUUCUUGGGGAGCUCCUGAAUCGCUUAUGUCUGAUAUUUGAGGAAUAUUUUCAUCUUAACACGCGAUAUAGAGGGAGCAAAAGGAGAAUGCUUCAUGCAUGCUUCAAUGACAUUUCAAUCCGAACUUUUCUGUUCGGCAUUCUCGUCGUUUUCGUCAUCAUUACAACGACGCUGCUAUCACAAGGGACAGAUUAUCUCGAGUUUGAGCAUGUGGAAAUCAUCUUGAGUGGGUUAGGCAGUUGCUCGCUUGUUCGAUACCUGCUCGGUCUUAACUCGAUUUCGCGAGUUCAACUCUCUUCUUUGAUGGAAAACAACAACCGGUUAGUGGCAAAUGGUCUAGCAUGGUCCUACUUCUUUGGUUACCUAAAGAUUUUUCUUCCUCGGCUGAACGAAAGAAUUGAGCAAUCCGAGUGGAAAAAUACUUUGUCUUCGAAGAAGCUGUAUAUCCUAAUGCCGCGAGAUUGCUUUGCAUACAGUUUGCUUAGUGAUGAAGACAAGAACAUUGAGCUUGUCAAAGAUGCCUCCAUUGAGUACAAGGCUGAUCGUGCCGGAAUCCCAAAGGUUUACCGUCUAAAUGUCUAUAAGAUAAACGGAACGGCUAAUCUAAAUAAUCGCCCGCUUCAUAUAUUGGCCGAGUACGCAUCGCCUCUUUCCUGUUUACAUGAAAUGAGUCACGAGGCGGAAGCGCGGCUAAGUAGAGAGGACCGGGACGAGCAAGCAAAGUUGUUUCUACGGACAUUGAAGUCGAUCAUGAAAUAUCCGCCAAUACCUGAAGUUCCGAAUAGGUGUAAACUUGUGCCGUAUGCAAGAUGCCCUGGAGUACAAAUAUCCAAAGUGUUAGCUGAGGCAGUUUUUGAAGACAUGGAAGGCGAGGCGACAAAUGCAUCUGGGGAAUCAGUCACAAGUUCACCUCGUAAACAGAAAGAUCUGGUUGACUUGGCCUGCUAUCACUGCCAGGAAAAAGGCCACAAACUGCGGAAAUGCCCACGUCUUGAAAAAAGCGGAAUGACGAAUAAAGGAACAAGGGAGAAAAGAGGAGAGAGGCCGCCGGAGAGAGAAAAGUAUUUGAUUUGCUAUCAUUGCAAUGAAGAAGGUCACAAAAAAAAGAAAUGUCCACAUAUCCUGAAAGACAAAGAAAAAAAGGGUGGAAGGAGAUCGAGAAGCCACCAUUACAGAAUCUGAGAAGAUGCAGAGUCAGCAGGAAUGGUACCACCCGGGCAAUACUAUAGCAGCUUGGCAAAGUUUUCAGAUUGGACUAUUUAACUUCCAAGCCAAAGGAUAAUUUAUUUGGAGUAGAAUUAAAGAGUAGAAAGUAUACAAUACUAAAGAUAAUGCACAUAUAGGCCCGACAUGCAGUCGUGGUAUUUCAUGCAUGGCAUUGACUUGAGGGAUCUUACAGUCAGACAUUUUUACACAUCAGGCUGGUUGUUCGAAAGGCGUUUGGCGUGAACGGUGGUGCAUGGAUAGACCAAAGUUAAAAAAACUCUCAUAUACAU